rnacentral:rRNA from 1 species
UACGAAGGGGGCGAGCGUUGUUCGGAUUUACUGGGCGUAAAGGGCGCGUAGGCGGCCCUUCAAGUCAGGCGUGAAAGCCCCGGGCUCAACCUGGGAGGUGCGCUUGGGACUGGAGGGCUGGAGUUCGGGAGAGGAGAGUGGAAUUCCCAGUGUAGAGGUGAAAUUCGUAGAUAUUGGGAAGAACACCAGUGGCGAAGGCGGCUCUCUGGACCGAGACUGACGCUGAGGCGCGAAAGCGUGGGGAGCAAACAGG